rnacentral:rRNA from 1 species
UACGUAGGGGGCAAGCGUUGUCCGGAUUUACUGGGCGUAAAGCGCGCGUAGGCGGAGCGUUAAGUCUGGCCUGAAAGCCCCCGGCUCAACCGGGGAGGGUGGCUGGAAACUGACUUUCUUGAGGAUGAGAGAGGCGUGUGGAAUUCCUGGUGUAGCGGUGAAAUGCGUAGAUAUCAGGAGGAACACCCGUGGCGAAGGCGGCACGCUGGCUCAUCCCUGACGCUGAGGUGCGAAAGCGUGGGGAGCGAACGGGAUUAGAUA